AGGAGUCAAUUGGUGUGUUUAAAGUGAAGUCCAAUCCCCAUAACCAUGCAAUACACCAACCACUCCAUUUGCAUAAUGAACUUCGCACGAACUUGACUUGUCCAAUUUCAUUGGCGAAUCGAUAUUGGAUUGAGCCCAAAACUUGGUCAACAUCGUAAUAUGGUGGGAGGAUUCAGUUGGUGAGUUUUUAGUGAAAUCCAAUGGAUAAAACAACGCAAUACACC
rnacentral:lncRNA from 1 species